rnacentral:lncRNA from 1 species
UAAAUUAUCUAUUAGAGUAGUUUGAUUCACCUUAUUUCACUUUUAAAUUAUAGGAAGUGAUCAAAUUUUAGAAUUCAAACCUCUUAUCUUAUUUUCUAAAAUAUAUCUCGAUAUAUAAUUUAUUAGUUGUAUUCAAAUUUUGUAACUUCUUUAAAUACAUGGAAUCAUGUCGAUAUAACUUUUCCACCUCAUCCACCGGCUUAAUCUCUCCUAUUAACAACGCACUGUCUGCCAGCGCCAGGCAAGUGGCCCAUUUUUCGCAUUUUUAUUCUUUUGCGAUAAUGGCAAGCUGAUCUUCCAUCCAUGAACAUCAUGCCAAUAUCGGCACUGGUUGCGUAGAGGAAUUUAUCUUGUCCUCUGCACUCUUCAAGCUGCAAAAAAGAAAUGACAAAAAAAAAUUGCUUUUAUAAGUUGAUUAUAUAUGCAUAUGAUGGUUUUGAAAUCCAUGUUAAGUAAUACAUUCCAAAUAAGGAAAAAGUAUAAAUAAAAUUCAAAGAUGAAUUAAACUUGAAAUUGAAAUAGUUGAUUAUUGGAUUGAAAGGGAGAUUGAAGGAAAUAAAUUGAACAAUAUUAAAAUGAUAUAAAUGUAAAUGAAACAGAGCUAAUUGCUAAAAUAAAGAAGUAAAAUAAUGAAAUUUGGACAGAAACAAGUUAUUUGUUGGAUC